CAAUUCUAUAUAGUUGUUUGCCAAGACUUCGAUGAUCUCACGUGGCUUACUCAAAUUUGCAACAAAUACCUAACUCAACAUAAGGUAAGCACAUAAGAAACACAUUUUGCUGGUUGGUUAAUCUUAUAAAUGAGCAAGACUUUCAGCAAAAUGUAAUCAACUUUAUUAACUGACUAGGAAUUAUUGUCUUCCUGGGUCUUAUUUUCUCAUGUACAAGUUAGGGGU
rnacentral:lncRNA from 1 species